AUGAUGAUGAGUGAAGGCCAGGGACAGCAGCAACAGCAGGAGAUCAUCACCCAGCAACAUCAGCAACAGCAACAGCCGCUGGAGAUGGACAUCACCUUCGGGAUGAGCAGCCAUCAACAUCACCAUGCCCCUCCCUCCUCGUCCUCCUCCUCCUCCAUGCACGCCGCCGCCGCGAGCUUCAUGAGCGGCAAGGAGGCAUCAGGCGCGUAUGACCAACUGGGGGAGCUGGACCAGGCCCUGUUCAUGUACCUCGACCACGGCCACGCCUCCACGCAGCAGGAGCAGCGCCAGACCCUCAACAUCUUCCCCUCCCAGCCGAUGCACGUGGAGCCAUCACCAAAGGGGGAGCUUGGCCUAGUCCUGUCGCCAGCGCCCGUGGGGUCGAAGAUGCCGUCGCCGGACCACCAUCACCACCAGCAGCAGCAGCAGGCGGCCGCGGCGGCCAUGGAGGAGUUGGCGGCGGGGAGCAGGAGGCAGCAGCAGGAGCACCACCUCCACCUGCAGCACCAGCAACAACAACCCGCCUUCGCCACCGCCGAGUCCGCAGGGGUCAGCAACAACAAGGAUGUCAAGCCGCUGACAAAGAAGGAGCACAAGAGGGGCUUAUCCACCGGCGAACGCGACCCAAAAACGCUGAGGAGGCUAGCCCAGAACAGGGAGGCGGCAAGGAAGAGCAGGCUGAGGAAGAAGGCCUAUAUCCAGCAGCUCGAGUCCAGCAGGAUCAGGCUGGCUCAGAUCGAGCAAGAACUCCACAGCGCAAGAGCUCAGGGAGUGCUCUACCCCGGCAGCAGCCUCCUCGCCGAGCAAGGCAUCGCCGGAAAAGGUCUCGGCGGCAUCGACGGCCUCAGCUCAGAGGCGGCGAUGUUCGACGUGGAGUACGCGCGGUGGCAGGAGGAGCACAACCGGCUGAUGUACGAGCUGCGGGCGGCGCUGCAGCAGCACCUGCCGGAGGGGGAGCUGCAGAUGUACGUGGAGAGCUGCCUGGCGCACCACGACGAGGUGCUGGCCAUCAAGGACGCCGUCAUCAAGGGCGACGUCUUCCACCUCAUCUCCGGCGUCUGGAGGAGCCCCGCCGAGCGCUGCUUCCUCUGGCUCGGCGGCUUCCGCCCCUCCGAGGUCAUCAAGAUGGUGCUUUCGCACGUGGACCCGCUGACGGAGCAGCAGAUCGUGGCGGUGUACGGGCUGCAGCAGUCGGCGGUGCAGACGGAGGAGGCGCUGAGCCAGGGCCUGGACACCCUCUACCAGGCGCUCUCCGACACCAUCGUCUCCGACGCGCUCACCUGCUGCUCCACCCCCAACGUCUCCAACUACAUGGGCCAGAUGGGCCUCGCCGUCCACAAGCUCACCACCCUCGAAGGCUUCGUCAGACAGGCGGAGAAGCUGAGGCAGCAGAUGCUCCACCGGCUGCACCAGGUGCUGACGGCGCGGCAGAUGGCGCGGUCGCUGCUAGCCGUCUCCGACUACUUCCACCGCCUCCGCGUGCUCAGCUCCUUCUGGGUCAACCGCAACAGGAUGGCGCCGCAGGACCAGCAGCUGGAGGCCGCCCCUCACACCUAA
rnacentral:rRNA from 1 species